UCACUGUCAUCAGACAUGUAUCUUCAUUCAAAUCGUACCCAACUCAACAGUUCUCUCAAUGCCCAUGACUGAAGAGCCACUUUCCCUCAGAGAAUUUGUAUCUGCAUUAUUCUCCUUAUUCAAAGCCCUAAGCUCUGGAACGGGCUCCAGUAAUUCUCCGGUUUCCGUGCAUACAGCUAGGCGGUUGCCCUCCAGCCUUUGGCUAGAUGGAGUCUAUAAAUGGAAUUCUCUUAAUCUUUCGCAAGGCCCUUAAUCAUUCGUACACUCUCUGCCUAAUUCUCCGUCCUGAUGGAGCCCCGUCCUGAUGAAGCAGGGUGACAGCAAGGGUGACCCAACGAUGCAUGAACACCUAACACCCAGCUCCUUCCAACUGUGCCCAUUCCUCCUCCAGACGCCCCUGUGGGAGAAGGGGCGUUCUAGGGACUCCUUUUCAUUUCUACUGCUGACGCCCUGUCCCCCACCAGAUGUCUACCAGCUGGAAAAGAGGGGUGGCAGCUGUUUCCUUUGUAAACAAUUGCAACAUGAACAUCAUUGUCCACAAGCUGGCUCGGGAGACUGUCAGUGCCCUCGGGUCGAGGACACGGUUCCACUCCUCUGCCGACGUCGAGGGCAGGCUGGGGAACUGACUUCGAUCUAGCAGCUUAGGCUGUCCCUUCCCUCCACGAUCCCACAAGAAGAGCACCUACCCCCUUCUGCGGGCAGAAGACGGACUCGGUGACCUCUCUCGGUCUCCUCCAGCCACAGGAUUCCACUGGGCUAUUAUUAGAAUCAUCUGGACAGAGCUGCAGUGUGACAUCAGGCGUCUGGGUGUGCAAAACUGAAUGGAAAUGUUUAUGGGUGCUCUGGCACACGAAACCGCCUCUGAUGGCCCUUCUGGUGUCACUCAACUUUAUACUGGGGCUAUUUCCCUGAGCCUUUCUUUCCGGUUCCACUGACACGAAAUCAGGAAGCCUCAUUCCCACCAGUACCCACCACCCCUGGGCCUGGUGUGUGGAGCAUGGAGGCUGAAUAUCAAGUAUUAUCCACAUUGGCAGCUGUCCCUAGGUGGCCUGGAGGCAGUCAGCCUGUAUACUGUCAAGGAAGCACCGUCCUGGUUCUGAGCAAGGGCCUCUGCAAGACCCAAGAUCACUCAGAUCCUUGCACCACCACACAUAGAGCCACGCCAGUGGCUGUCGUCAAGGUCCAGUUUCUUGGAGGCCACAUGGAAAGGCUGCAGCCCAGAUGAUUGAAGUGUCCCACAAUCAGAAAGUAGGGAAGGGUGAGAUGCCUUAAGGAGGUUGCCUCCAACCGGGUUUGCUUCUUUGAAAGACUGGCCAAGAAAUUACAAGUGAUAGACGAUUUGUAUUUCUCUGGUAUUUGAGGAUUUUAAAUGUGAGCAAAUGUA